GUGUUAUUUGUGUUCUCUCUUAGUUGCGGUUCUAUAUUUACCAUCUAAAUCUAAUCUCUAGUCUUUCCUCACAUUUCUAUUAUUAUAACCUAUUCUCACCGUCCAACAACAACAACACUAUUUCUCAGGUGCUCUCAAUCUUUUCUUAAUUUGAGUGGCUGCAAAAGCCCACGUGCUAGGCUCCUUCAUUUUUUGGCUGUCCCCUUUUUUCUAUUUAGCUCUUUUUUCAUCCAAUUAUCACUUGGAGGUUUAGGGUUUUGAUCCUCACAGCUCUUGCAUAAUUUAAGGAUUCCUUUUUUCAAUAUCCGCCAUGUCUAAGAGGGUUCUUUGUAAGUUCUUUGCUCAUGGAGCAUGUCUGAAAGGGGAGCAUUGUGAAUUUUCUCAUGACUGGAAAGACCCUCCAAAUAAUAUAUGCACAUUUUAUCAAAAAGGAGUCUGUGCUUAUGGUAGUCGCUGCAGAUAUGAUCAUGUCAAAGCUUCUCGACCACAGUCCUCCACUCCAUCUUCUUCAGUAUUCGAACACCUGCCCCUGGUUUCAGAUUCUGUUAUAUUUGGUAAUACUAGAAUUACAUCAAAUGGUGUUGCUACAGCUGCAGAGUUUUCUCUUUCCAGCAGUCCUUACCUUCAUCCCAGUAAACUGGCUCUGGCUCAAGAAUUUGAGUAUCACGAUCUUUUAGGGGAAGAAGAUGUUGGUCAAUCCAUAACUAGUUCACCUUCUGAGCUUUCAAUCUGUUCAUUUGCUGCUGCUGGAAACUGUCCACGAGGGGGAAAAUGUCCCCAUAUUCAUGGGGAUCUAUGUCCCACCUGUGGAAAACACUGCUUGCAUCCUUUCCGACCUGAGGAAAGAGAAGAACAUAUGAAGAUUUGUGGAAAUAAGCAAAAGCAUCUUGAGGCAUUGAAACAAAGUCAAGAAAUUGAAUGCAGUGUUUGUCUGGAGCGUGUUCUUUCAAAGCCUACAGCAGGUGAACGUAAGUUUGGGCUGCUAUCUGAAUGUGAUCAUCCAUUCUGCAUAUCCUGUAUUAGGAAUUGGCGUAGUAGUAACCCAACAUUGGGGAUGGAUGUCAAUAGCACAUUGAGAGCUUGUCCUAUCUGUCGCAAGCUAUCGUACUUUGUCAUUCCAAGUGUCAUUUGGUACUCUACAAGUGAAGAAAAACAGGAAAUCAUUGACAGCUACAAGGCAAAGCUCAAGUCGAUUGAUUGCAAGCAUUUUGACUUUGGGGAUGGGAACUGCCCUUUCGGUACAAGUUGUUUCUAUAAGCAUGCAUAUCGAGAUGGUGGUCUUGAGCAGGUAGCUUUGCGACAUCUUGGGGCUGCAGAUGGAGACACUGUAAUUGCCAAAGACAUAAGGUUGUCGGAUUUCCUUGCUAACAUGCAUUUAAGAUGAAGAGUGAUCUUCAUAUGUUCUAGUGAUGCUUCAAUAAAAUUGGCUUAAUGUCAAAAGUUAUUUUUAUAUUGCAAGUCAAGAUCCUCUUCUUUUUUCUAUGAGAGGAACCAGAGGAAAACGCUGCACUGUGCAUUCCGUCGUUGUAAUAAAGUGCAUAUGUUAAAUGGUAGACGGACAUAUAUGCUUGCACGAGGGGUAUAAUCUCCAACAAGCUGUAAUUAUGGAUUGAAGGUGGUACGCUACAAUGUGCACUUUUUGAGCCAUCAGUAAGACUUUAAGAAGCAUUUACUUUUGUCUGGUGGAUUUCCAAGUUAAAUGCAAAAAUUGAUUGGGUUGAUGAGUGUUAGCAUUACCGAGAUCUUAACAUAUAAUGUUUAUUGUAUUGAUUGAUUUUCUUGCUGGGUGACAUUGCAGCACCAAGAGCCUUGCGAAAGGGUUCAACAAAUGUAUGGGUUUUGUUAUUUCUUACAGGACCUUGUCACAGGCCUUUUGGGCCAUAUUUAAGUAACACCUUUUUUUCUAGUACAUACGUAACACCCUUUGAUUAGUAGAUAGUGAAAUUUCUUUCAAUUUAAGA